AUUGUUAUAGUCAUGGAGAAAAG
rnacentral:snRNA from 1 species